rnacentral:rRNA from 1 species
UACAGAGGGGGCAAGCGUUGCUCGGAAUCACUGGGCGUAAAGGGCGCGUAGGCGGGUUGGCAAGUCAGUCGUGAAAUCUCUCGGCUCAACCGAGAAACGUCGGCUGAUACUGCCGUUCUUGAGGGAUGCAGAGGAGACUGGAAUUCCCGGUGUAGCGGUGAAAUGUGUAGAGAUCGGGAGGAACACCGGUGGCGAAGGCGGGUCUCUGGGCAUCUCCUGACGCUGAGGCGCGAAAGUGUGGGGAGCGAACAGG